rnacentral:rRNA from 1 species
GACGAACGCUGGCGGCGUGCUUAACACAUGCAAGUCGAACGGAAAGGCCCUGCUUUUGUGGGGUGCUCGAGUGGCGAACGGGUGAGUAACACGUGAGUAACCUGGCCUUGGCUUUGGGAUAACUUCAGGAAACUGGGGCUAAUACCGGAUAGGAGCUCGUGCUGCAUGGUGGGGGUUGGAAAGUUUCGGCGGUUGGGGAGGGACUCGCGGCUUAUCAGCUUGUUGGUGGGGUAGUGGCUUACCAAGGCUUUGACGGGUAGCCGGCCUGAGAGGGUGACCGGCCACAUUGUGACUGAGAUACGGCCCAGACUCCUACGGGAGGCAGCAGUGGGGAAUAUUGCACAAUGGGCGGAAGCCUGAUGCAGCAACGCCGCGUGCGGGAUGACGGCCUUCGGGUUGUAAACCGCUUUCGCCUGUGACGAAGCGUGAGUGACGGUAAUGGGUAAAGAAGCACCGGCUAACUACGUG